UAACUAGUAUUAAACACACAAUAAACACAUAAGUGCUUCUUCUCCCCCUAAGUCUGUUCAACACAUACAUCUACUUCAACAACACCUGUAACAUCCAUCACCCCAUCUGACAUCUCCUUCAACAUCACCCAUCUGACAUCUCCUUCAACAUCACCUGUACUGCACAGAACCUCAUUCUGUUCAACAUCAACACAGACAUCUAUUUAGCCUAGCUACUUCAGCACACAUUAAC
rnacentral:lncRNA from 1 species